GGGUACCAGCACAAUCAAAUAUAGUCUAGAUGAACAACGUUGAGAAAAAUAAAUGGGUACUUUCCAACAUCGCUAAAAAGUUAAAUAUAUUAUCAAUGUAACGACGAUUAUUUUCAAAUAUUACACAAAGUCUGAUGAAAUCAGGCAUCCCUGCAAGCAGCUGAUCGGUGUUGACAAGUGAGGAGGAACCAACUAGUACAAAAACUUUUACAUAACACAAGGGGUGUACCGAAUAGUAAAUAGUUCGCGCAAUUCAACAAAGAAAACAUUGUUCGAGGAAAUAAUAACUUUCGAAGCAGUUGACGAAACUAUCUGCACUAUUCAAAUCGUUCGAAUUGUGCGAUACCAUAGUGAGUGCUUUUAGAGGAUAGAGAACAAUUUCAUAGUAGAGCUUUUAAAAAUUAUGGAACGAAAGGAUGUAAAGGAGUCAAUGCCGCAACUGUACUUAGCUGAGCGCACAUACAUUAUUAUAUAAAAAUUUAAUUUACAAUAAUAAAUCAAAAAUUCUUUUUUAAUAACAA